rnacentral:rRNA from 1 species
UUGAACGCUGGCGGCAUGCCUUACACAUGCAAGUCGAACGGCAGCACGGGAGCAAUCCUGGUGGCGAGUGGCGAACGGGUGAGUAAUGUAUCGGAACGUACCUUUCAGUGGGGGAUAACGUAGCGAAAGUUACGCUAAUACCGCAUAUUCUGUGAGCAGGAAAGCAGGGGAUCGCAAGACCUUGCGCUGAUUGAGCGGCCGAUAUCAGAUUAGCUAGUUGGUGAGGUAAAGGCUCACCAAGGCGACGAUCUGUAGCGGGUCUGAGAGGAUGAUCCGCCACACUGGAACUGAGACACGGUCCAGACUCCUACGGGAGGCAGCAGUGGGGAAUUUUGGACAAUGGGGGCAACCCUGAUCCAGCCAUGCCGCGUGAGUGAAGAAGGCCUUAGGGUUGUAAAGUUCUUUUGUCAGGGAAGAAAGUUUCUGUGCUAAUACCAUAGAACGAUGACGGUACCUGAAGAAUAAGCACCGGCUAACUACGU